UACGGAGGAUCCGAGCGUUAUCCGGAUUUAUUGGGUUUAAAGGGUGCGCAGGCGGACUGGUAAGUCAGGGGUGAAAAUCUACGGCUCAACUGUAGACGUGCCUUUGAUACUGCCGGACUAGAGUUAAGAUGGAGUGGGCGGAAUGUGUUGUGUAGCGGUGAAAUGCUUAGAUAUAACACAGAACACCGAUCGCGAAGGCAGCUCACUAAACUUUGACUGACGCUCAUGCACGAAAGCGUGGGGAUCAAACAGGAUUAGAUACCCUGGUAGUCCACGCUGUAAACGAUGAUCACUCGCUGUUGGCGAUAUACCGUCAGUGGCUAAGCGAAAGUGAUAAGUGAUCCACCUGGGGAGUACGACCGCAAGGUUGAA
rnacentral:rRNA from 1 species